rnacentral:lncRNA from 7 species
AAAUUGCGCGGGACUGAGUUCCUCUGCUGCUCUUGGAUUCUCAUCCCCUGGUCACGAGUGUUCCUGCGCGCGGGGACCUGUGUGUAAUCCAGAAGAACAUAAAACAGUCCGAGGCCAUUGGUUUCCUGUUUUGAAUGAGCCUGACAAGAGCCUGAGCUGUGCCUGGGAAAUUGCAGAGAUGCAAACAAACUGGUUUGGCAGGUGAUGGGAAAAGAACAGCUGUGUCACCACAUUUAAGGUGAACAUCAGAGGCAAAGGAAGCCUGACUCCUAAGGCAGCUGAGCAGCACUUAUGAGGUGUUGCUGUAGAUUUCCUUAACUUGGUGCUGAGCCCCACUGCACCUCAGGUGAUGUGAUGAUAAAGGCAGGACAGACAACAGCACAGCCUGUUAAUGUACUCAUUUGCAAACUCCUCAACUGGCCUAUGUUAUGUGAAGCUUUUUUUAAUUCAUGGAGUUGAAAAGAAAGGAAACCUGAAAACUAAAGAGAGUUGCUCCAUAAUGGACUUGUAUCUAUUUGUGAUGAUUUCACAGUAACUCAGCCUGGAGAGCAGCUAGAGGUACUGCCAUAUUCUUUUUUGCUGAGUCUUCCAGCGGGAAAACUAUGUAUCUGUUCCUCCUUUCCAUUCUAUAUUUGCUUCUGAAACCCACUAGCAGCAGAGAAGUUAUAUAUGGCCAUAAUCAUUUCACUGAAUAUCAAGUGGGCAACAUGAACCUGAUCCUCUCUGUCCCACAUGGUGGGUCAGUGGAACCUGAAGACAUCCCUGAUCGAGAGGCUGGUUGUUGGGAUGCAGAGACAUCUUCUUGUAUUUUCUCUCAUAAGUGUCCUCCUGGAAGCAUUCAAAAUUAUGAAAAGUGUAAAGUAUCUACCAAACAAGACAGGUAUACAAUAGAAGUGGCUCAGGCUCUUGCUGAGGAAAUCAACAAAAUUACUGAUGGUUUCUUUCCACAUAUUGUUAUAAACCACUUACAGAGGUUCAAGAUGGAUGCCAAUAGGGAAAAGGAAGAGGCCUCCUUUGGAGUUCCCCAAGCAGAACAGGCCUGGGAGGAUUACAUGGGAUUUUUGACCACUGCAAAAUCACAGAUAACAGGGGGCCUGAUUCUGGAUAUCCAUGGACAAGCACAUCCUGAACAGUGGAUAGAAUUAGGUUAUACACUUUCAAAAACUUCUCUUAACUCGGGUGUCCUUUCUGCAUCAAAUUCCUCCAUUAGAUAUCUGGCCAAUCAGCUAGUCGGUGUGUCUUUUGCGACUCUGCUUGCAGGGAACAGAAGUUUGGGUAAAUAUAUUGAAGAACAAAAUAACAGUUAUGUUUGUGUGCCUUCUCCAUCCAACCCCAGCCCAAAUAAUGGGAACUAUUAUAGUGGUGGAUACAUAACAAAGACUUUUGGCUCCCGUCAUUCUGGUGUUGUUGAUGCCAUUCAGAUUGAACUACCACAGUGGGUGAGGGCACCUGAAGAACGUAGCAAAUUCUGUAAAGCACUAGCAAAGGCUGUAAUGAAAUUCUGGCAAACUAACUACUGCAGCCAGUUCAAGCGUGAGUUUCUGCCAUGCUGAAAAAGGUUGUCUUAAUUAAGAUACCUUUCCAUAAAAUAUUAAUGAUCUGAAACAACAGAACAACUGAUACACCUAAAACACUUAAGCCUGAAAUAUAACUGUGGAUGCUAGAGGAAAAAUGGCCUUCAAAGGAAUACAGAGACAUCAACAGAGAAAAUUCACAGCUAAUACUCAACAAGCUUAUUAGCAAACAGCUUUGUGCUAGAUCCAGCAUUGAAAAGAUUGCUUGAAAGAUAUCUUUGGAAGUAUCAAUUGUCUGAUAAGCUUUUCUGUUCUUAAUUUCUUUCCUGUAGCAUCCUUUGUUCUCUAGGAUACAGUAAGUGUCUGUUUUUCUAGUUAAUUCUGUGCAGUGCUUUAGUAGAUUGUCUAUUCAAUAAAAUUGAGUGUCUCUGCUUUUCUUCUGACACU